rnacentral:lncRNA from 1 species
AAUUUUUAAGCCAGCUUGGCCGCAGAAGCUUCCAGAGCUGACUUUGCUUUGUGUUCUAGAAGACACAACCCUCACAUAUCUCUCCUUGGUUCCUCCUUGAAAGGGCAAACGCAUACAGAGCUGAAGGAAAGCAGGGAAUGUAGCUGCUACUGAGGCAACCAGCAGUUUGUGGACUCUCACCAGCACAUGCAGAACCAACAUGGCCAUGCUUCUGGCAGAUCAUGCUGCAGACCUCUCAUCUCCUCUCUGGGGUUUUCUGCUGUAUAUGUACAUGUGCAGUUCAGUGCCCAGCUCAGAAGCAUGCAGGAGUUAACACACCUGAUGAGAGAGGCAAGAAGUGGAGCUUUCUCAUCCCUAUUUUUUGACUUCUUGCUUCCUGUGCCAGUGACUAUAUAAUCAGAUACAAUUGUGCCUGAAAUCAUGCAGAAAUCCUAGGUAACACUCCCAGAGAGAACCAGAUCUCAAAAUUAGGAAACAACCUCCUUUAGGAUUCCUUUAGAAUUACACCCUCACUGAUCUUUAAUGAGGGAUCCUUAAAGGCAUGACUAAAGUGAACUUGUUUGCAGUAGCUUAAAAAUGGUUGCAAAUUCUCUAUUACCCUGACCACAGAGAGGUGGAAACUACAUUAUCUCCCUGGAAUCUCUGUUCACCUUGUGAUUUACCUGACCAAUUCAGAGAAAAUGACACUCUGAGACUCUCAAAGCAAUAUCAUAAGAAGUCUUGCAGCUUCUGCCCUCAUCUCUCGGGACACUCUUUCUAAGUGCCUUGAAUUGUGAUUUAAGAAGUCUGCAUGACAGGG